GAUGAACGCUAGCGGCAGGCCUAAUACAUGCAAGUCGAGGGGCAGCGCGGUAGCAAUACUGGCGGCGACCGGCGCACGGGUGCGUAACACGUAUGCAACCUACCUUCAACUGGAGGAUAGCCCGGGGAAACUCGGAUUAAUACUCCAUAAUACAGGGAUCCCGCAUGGGAAUAUUGUUAAAGCUACGGCGGUUGAAGAUGGGCAUGCGUUCGAUUAGCUAGUUGGUGUAGGUAACGGCUCACCAAGGCUACGAUCGAUAGGGGGUCUGAGAGGAUGAUCCCCCACACUGGUACUGAGAUACGGACCAGACUCCUACGGGAGGCAGCAGUAGGGAAUAUUGGUCAAUGGGGCGCAAGCCUGAACCAGCCAUGCCGCGUGCAGGAAGAAGGCCCUCUGGGUUGUAAACUGCUUUUGAUAGGGAACAAAUGCCACUUGCGAGUGGAGCUGAGUGUACCUAUAGAAUAAGCACCGGCUAACUCCGUG
rnacentral:rRNA from 1 species